GACGAACGCUGGCGGCGUGCUUAACACAUGCAAGUCGAACGGAAAGGCCCUGCUUUUGUGGGGUUCUCGAGUGGCGAACGGGUGAGUAACACGUGAGUAACCUGCCCUUGACUUUGGGAUAACUUCAGGAAACUGGGGCUAAUACCGGAUAGGAGCUCCUGCUGCAUGGUGGGGGUUGGAAAGUUUCGGCGGUUGGGGUUGGACUCGCGGCUUAUCAGCUUGUUGGUGGGGUAGUGGCUUACCAAGGCUUUGACGGGUAGCCGGCCUGAGAGGGUGACCGGCCACAUUGGGACUGAGAUACGGCCCAGACUCCUACGGGAGGCAGCAGUGGGGAAUAUUGCACAAUGGGCGGAAGCCUGAUGCAGAAACGCCGCGUGCGGGAUGACGGCCUUCGGGUUGUAAACAGCUUUCGCCUGUGACGAAGCGUGAGUGACGGUAAUGGGUAAAGAAGCACCGGCUAACUACGUG
rnacentral:rRNA from 1 species